UGGCUCAGGGCUCACACCAGGUCCCUCAGCCCACACCCAUCAGACUUGGGGUUCAAGCUCAGAUCUGUCCGUUUUCAAGAGAGAGUCCAACCAGCCUGCCCAAAAUCAGCCAGUGAAGACUAACCAAGGGAUUGCUAGGAGACAGAUGGUCUCACUGGCUAGAUCAUAAUCAGGCAAUUCCAGAGUGAGGAUCCUCAUCGGCCAUCCCAUUCCUACUGUGUUUGAGGACACAUGGAUGAAGCCUCGGCUCAGGGCUUCGUGUUAGGGUCCUGGGUUUGGAGGGUGGGCAGGAUGUGCCUUGUCGGGGCUCCCUGCUCACCUCUCAUGGCUCAACCUCGUUGCUGCUGAAGAUGCGGAUGCCUCCAGCUAUUACGAGUCCCACUGCAACAAGGAACAGAGGCAGAGCCGCUUUCCAUGCCAUGAACUGGGAGCUUCUGGAGAAGGUAGCUAGAGAAGAUUCCCAGAAGCCAGGAAUAUUGGGAACCAUGGGACGCCAUGCCAAGAGUGAGUCCACAUGGAGACUGCGUACUCUGGGUGCCGACGGCAUUGUCAACGGAGGUUCAUCAAUCAUGGUGGACAUUCCUUCUGGUGCAGGGUUUUUUUGCUGGGGGAAGUUGUGCGAGGGGGUUAGGGGAAUAUGGGAACUCUCUGGACUUUCUACUAAAAUUUGUUGUGACCCUAAAACUGCUUUAAAAAAUAAAGCCUAUUUUUAAAAACCCUAAAAA